AUACUUAUCUGUCAGAGAACUUACUAUGAUCAUGAAACUGGUUUCCCAGGGUGAGCCUUAUCCAUUGUACUUCAGAUAUGCUGACCUUGCAAUUUCCCCAAAUGUGGGAAAUUGGACUGCAUAAUCUGUAGUGGUGGUGGACUGAAUUCAUGCUCUCCCCUA
ensembl:snRNA U1 U1 spliceosomal RNA